UUCUGCAUAUCACUUGCCGAAGCCUUAGCAGCCUGAAAAGGUGCACUCCUACGACUCUAAAUAUUAGAGAGCUGCUUAAAUGCUAGUCUAUAUUGAAAUUAUAUAGGCAACACUAUCAAAUUGCGGGAACACCCUAAAGACUUCAACACCAAGCACUACUUGGAAACAAUAGUGUGGCCGAGCUAAUAGCCCUGGGUAUGGUAAUAGCUUGAAGUAUGAGUCUCUAUUAUUAGAGAUAAAAUGGGCAAUCCGCAGCCAAGUCCUAAGGUAUUAUAUACUAUGGAUGCUGUUCACAGGCCAAAUGGUAGUGGGUGGUUUUUGAAAUCUCAGAAACUGCUUAAGAUAUGGUCGGGCUCUUGUAGAAAUAUAAGAGAUAAGUAUAUGUAAUAUAACAAACCGUUCCGUAGGUGAACCUGCGGAAGGAUCAUUA
rnacentral:rRNA from 1 species